UCUACGGGAGGCAGCAGUGGGGGAUAUUGCACAAUGGGGGAAACCCUGAUGCAGCGAUGCCGCGUGAAUGAAGACGGCCUUCGGGUUGUAAAGUUCUGUCGCAGGGGACGAAAAUGACGGUACCCUGCAAGAAAGCUCCGGCUAACUACGUGCCAGCAGCCGCGGUAAUACGUAGGGAGCAAGCGUUAAUCGGAAUUACUGGGCGUAAAGCGCUCGUAGGCGGUAUGUCAAGUCAAGGGUGAAAUCCCCGCGCUCAACGUGGGAACUGCCUUUGAAAAUGGCAAACUGGAGUGUGUGAGAGGAUAGUGGAAUUCCAGGUGUAGGAGUGAAAUCCGUAGAUAUCUGGAGGAACAUCAGUGGCGAAGGCGACUAUCUGGCACAUAACUGACGCUGAGGAGCGAAAGCGUGGGUAGCAAACAGGAUUAGAUACCCGUGUAGUC
rnacentral:rRNA from 1 species